rnacentral:rRNA from 1 species
GAUAAACGCUGGCGGCGUGCUUAACACAUGCAAGUCGAACGAAGUUUUUCUUUCGGGAGGAACUUAGUGGCGGACGGGUGAGUAACGCGUGGGUAACCUGCCCUGUACAGGGGGACAACAGCUGGAAACGGCUGCUAAUACCGCAUAAGCCCUUAGCACUGCAUGGUGCAUAGGGAAAAGGAGCAAUCCGGUACAGGAUGGACCCGCGUCUGAUUAGCCAGUUGGCAGGGUAACGGCCUACCAAAGCGACGAUCAGUAGCCGAUCUGAGAGGAUGUACGGCCACAUUGGGACUGAGACACGGCCCAGACUCCUACGGGAGGCAGCAGUGGGGAAUAUUGCACAAUGGAGGAAACUCUGAUGCAGCGACGCCGCGUGAGUGAAGAAGUAUUUCGGUAUGUAAAGCGCUAUCAGCAGGAAAGAAAAUGACGGUACCUGACUAAGAAGCACCGGCUAAAUACGUG